rnacentral:tRNA from 1 species
CUCGCGCAGGGGUCCGACGGCGAGGCCGCGCGACUGCUGGUCGCGAGCCGCAUCCCGCGCACGGUCUCGCUCGUGCUCGCGGGC